GGGCUGUUGGGGCCGCUGAGGGGGUUACCGAGGCAGAGGAGAGGAGGCUGCGGGCAGACCUUGUUGUUCUCUACUGCUGCCUGACAGGAGGCUGUGGCGAGGCGGGGUCGGCCUCUUCUCCUGAGUACAGCGAUGGGGUGAGAGGCAAUGGCCUCGAGGUGCACCAGAGGAGGUUCAGCAGGAUGGAAGCUGGAGGGCUGGGAGAGAAGGGGAAGACCUCCAUGCUUCAGGAUAUGGUACUUGCAGCUCAGAGUGAGGCUGCUGGGGCAGGGAAGAAGGUGGAAUAACUUGAAAGCAAUGGCAGUUUUUGCCCCUGGUAAGGAUAGCAGUGAUUUCUCUGGCUGUUCAGGGCAGGUGGACCUUAGUGAGAACAUGGUAGCAUGAAAGAAUUGCAUCUGGCAGCCUGAUAAGUUAUGUAGGGAUUCACACUUCAACCUGCAUUUCUCCUCUUUCCGUUCCUGAU
ensembl:lncRNA